rnacentral:rRNA from 1 species
UGGGGAAUUUUGGACAAUGGGCGAAAGCCUGAUCCAGCAAUGCCGCGUGUGUGAAGAAGGCCUUCGGGUUGUAAAGCACUUUUGUCCGGAAAGAAAUCCUUGGCUCUAAUACAGUCGGGGGAUGACGGUACCGGAAGAAUAAGCACCGGCUAACUACGUGCCAGCAGCCGCGGUAAUACGUAGGGUGCAAGCGUUAAUCGGAAUUACUGGGCGUAAAGCGUGCGCAGGCGGUUUGCUAAGACCGAUGUGAAAUCCCCGGGCGUCAACCUGGGAACUGCAUUGGUGACUGGCAGGCUAGAGUAUGGCAGAGGGGGGUAGAAUUCCACGUGUAGCAGUGAAAUGCGUAGAGAUGUGGAGGAAUACCGAUGGCGAAGGCAGCCCCCUGGGCCAAUACUGACGCUCAUGCACGAAAGCGUGGGGAGCAAACAGGAUUAGAUACCCUGGUAGUCCACGCCCUAAACGAUGUCAACUAGUUGUUGGGGAUUCAUUUCCUUAGUAACGUAGCUAACGCGUGAAGUUGACCGCCUGGGGAGUACGGUCGCAAGAUUAAAACUUAAAUGAAUUGACGGGGUCAUAGCUG